rnacentral:rRNA from 1 species
AUUGAACGCUGGCGGCAGGCCUAACACAUGCAAGUAGAGCGAGCGGCGGACGGGUGAGUAAUGUCUGGGAAACUGCCUGAUGGAGGGGGCUAACUACUGGAAACGGUAGCUAAUACCGCAUACCAUCAGCGUUUCCCAUAUGGGAUUAGCUGGUAGGUGGGGUAACGGCGCACCUAGCAGACGAUCCAUAGCGGGUCUGACAGGAUGAACAGCGUCACGGGAACUUAGACACGGUCCAGAAUCCUACGUGAGGCAGCAGUGGGGAAUAUGGCACAAUGGGCGCAAGCCUGAUGCAGCCAUGCCGCGUGUAUGAAGAAGGCCUUCGGGUUGUAAAGUACUUUCAGCGGGGAGGCGUUACCCGCAGAAGAAGCACCGGCUAACUCCGUGCCAGCAGCCGCGGUAAUUC